AAAAUACCAUUAAUUUUUAUGAACCCCUAAUUUAUAAUGAAUGACUCCAUAUUUAUAUGGAAGACACCAUGCUAGGAUUAGUAACAAGAAUUUAUAAUUCUCCAAAAUGCAAAUAUAAACCAACAUGGAUAGACCAUUGGUAGUUACCGAACCUAAAUUUAAUGCAAUAACAUCCACAAGAAAACUCUGCAGCACUCACUCGUUAACCUAACACCAGCGCAUUACAGGAAAGAUUCAAAAAAAGAGAAGGAAUUCGGCAAAUGACGACCCCGCCUGUUUACCAAAAACAUCGCCUCUUGACUUAUAAUAAGAGGUCUAGCCUGCCCAGUGAAUUUUAAACGGCCGCGGUAUCCUAACCGCGCGAAGGUAGCAUAAUCACUUGUUCUUUAAAUGGGGACUCGUAUCAACGGCAUCACGAGGGUCUUACUGUCUCCUCUUUUUGAUCAGUGAAAUUGAUCUUCCCGUGAAGAAGCGGGAAUAUUUUUAUAAGACGAGAAGACCCCAUGGAGCUUUAAACCAAAUAACAACUUAACCACUUAUCCCAUAAUAAAUUUAACCCCUGUUAUAAGGUUUUUGGUUGGGGUGACCGCGGAGUAAAGCACAUCCUCCACGACGGAAAGAAUAAAAUCUUUAUUUAAGAACCACACUUCUAGAAAUUAGUAUACUAACGUUUACUGACCCGACAAUCGAUCAACGGACCAAGUUACCCUGGGGAUAACAGCGCAAUCUACUUCGAGAGCUCAUAUCGACAAGUAGGCUUACGACCUCGAUGUUGGAUCAGGGUAUCCCGGUGGUGCAGCCGCUACCGAAGGUUCGUUUGUUCAACGAUUAA
rnacentral:rRNA from 1 species